UCUACCUCUAUAUAUUGUGGUAAGGUCACCACUAGGAUACCUGGGAAAGUCCAGGACGGAGCUUAUUUAUGCCCCAGGUUCCUAACAGAGUUGUUCCGGGACUGUUAAUCCAGCCCGGGUUUUUUGUGUUAUCCUGAGGCAUCUCAGGUGAAUAAUUAAAAAGGCAGUUCAAGCCAGAGUGGGAGAGCUGCAGUCUGAGAAAGAAAGACACAGGGAAGCUGUCUGUGUGAGCGCAGAGAGAGUUUGGAAUCCCUACAAGGCGGUAAAAGGUAACUCGGAUAAAGAAGAUCCAGGCUUCAUGCCCAUAGAGUCUUGUACUGAUAAACCCUCAUUUAAUAUCAGUAAAGGCAUUCUGACGGCUGAUUUUGUACACUAAUCACAAAAUCUAGAAACAUCAAUGGAAUGGCAAGCUUCUUAAUCAGAAAAAGGACAAUCACAAAAAUGCAGGCUAGAAACAAGAUGACGUACCUCCAACAAGCCCAGCACUCAAGUACAGAUGAAUGAUGUUCUGAGAGAAGGAGCUGGUGGCCAAACCCACCCCACACAGUAGUCCUCCAGCCAUGACUGUUACUCUGCAGCCAAAUCUCUCCACCAUGAUAGUGCAAAGUGGACCUGAGCAAAAGGUGAGAAUGAAUAUGUCGUGCUCAAAGAAGGCAAAAAAUGAUGUAAUGAAGAGUUGCAGUAGGAAAUAAGGAGAAAAGGCCUGGUUUCUGCCAUCUGACAGUGACACCAGCUAUAACUAACCUCCUGCAUGCAGGACAGUCAUGAUAAUUGAAGGAAACCAAGAUGUUUCUGUGUUGGAGGCUUGAAAAGAAGACUGAAUAUCUGUGUAAAAGACCCCAAUACAAGAGGGGAAGCCCAAGACCAACCCCUGUGUCACCAUAACGGCUGCCAGGACCACCCAUGCCCAUGGUCCAUCUGGUGCCUCCAUUCUGAUUCCUUGUUUUUGUAUUUCCUCUCAAUUUCUGUUAUGUCCUUGUUUGAACUUGCACAUACAUAUCUGAGAAAAAAAAAUAUAUAUAUAUUUAUCUAUAUACA